rnacentral:rRNA from 1 species
GACAGAGGGUGCAAACGUUGUUCGGAAUUACUGGGCGUAAAGCGUGUGUAGGCUGCUACAUAAGUCGGAUGUGAAAGCCCCGGGCUCAACCCGGGAAGUGCACUCGAUACUGCGUAGCUUGAGUCUCGGAGAGGUUGGUGGAAUUCUCGGUGUAGAGGUGAAAUUCGUAGAUAUCGAGAGGAACACCGGUGGCGAAGGCGGCCAACUGGACGGAAGACUGACGCUGAGACACGAAAGCGUGGGGAGCAAACAGG